UCAAAGCCCUCUUGGAAACCUUCCCAUGGCCAAUGCUGGACUUUACUUUCUUCAGACUGCUUCCGAAGAAUGCGGUGGUGAGCGGCUGGUCCGCCGAGAUGGUGCCGCGUAGGCAUAACUGUGCCGAUGUAACCAGUAUAGAAUAGUAGAAGCUUCUCUCAAACGGCAGGCCGUGGACCCAAGCGGCCAGAAAAGUCAAUAACUUGUCUACCAUCUUUCAUCUCGUUAAUUUCAGCAACACAUAUUUGAUAAAGCUGAAAAGCAGAUAAUAUGCGGCACUUCCUCAGGAGUUUUUACGAAAAACAACUACUGUAAUUGUUAAACAAAGUCCAUUGUUGGUGGACGAGAGUUUGCAGUUAUUUAGCGUUGGUGAGCUCAUGCACGCAUCGCUCAGGAUUAACCUGAACUGCUUUUAGACUACUGAAGGGGUCGUGGGGAGGAGAAUGCAGUUCUACAGGAGAAUACCAACAAAGAUUUUUGUGGCUUGAGUUGGAAUGGUUGGCGUUUCGACCACAAUAGAGACUGCAGGUUGGUGAGAGAAGUGAUAUCAAUUCAACUUCUCAGGCAGACCCCAUGUGGAAGGAAAAGGACAGGAUAUGAUUCCUGCAUCACAGAAAUAGAAAUAAUGUGAGUGGAAAUUCUUGUGCAAAAACUCUAUAUCACAAAUCUGAAGAAGCUGCUGGAGUUUGUACAGUGAACUGAUCACAGCAUGUGGCUGCAUCAGAAAAAACCAAUCCAAAGAAGAAUCACCACUCUGUUUAAUAAGCAGUGGUUCUAAUAAAAAAAAAGCUCUCGGGCACGCAAAACACGCCGUUGGGCUCUGUUUGAAUAUUAGAAUUAGUUAGUUGGCGCGGCGUGGAGAUUUCGCCCGUAAUUAGGACUUAGGCUUUGGAAUUUUAGCCACCAUUAAAUCUCUCAAUAACUCGGGCGUGUUAGAAUCACCCACCUCUAUAUAAGAUGGUUUAUCAUAUUUGACGAAGAAAAAAUUUACAAUUUACAUACACUUUAACUAAUCAUUAUUAAUCAACAGAUCUUCAAAUUUAUUUUCAGUGAUAAAAGAAAGAGAUAAAUUGA